GACGUGGGGGGCCAGCGUUGCUCGGAAUUACUGGGUGUAAAGGGUUCGUAGGCGGUGUGGCAAGUCGGGAGUGAAAUCUCUGGGCUUAACCCAGAGUCUGCUUCCGAAACUGCUGUGCUUGAGUGUGGGAGAGGCGCGUGGAAUUGCAGGUGUAGCGGUGAAAUGCGUAGAUAUCUGGAAGAACACCGGUGGCGAAGGCGGCCUUCUGGACGAUGACUGACGCUGAGACGCGAAAGCGUGGGGAGCAAACAGG
rnacentral:rRNA from 1 species